rnacentral:tRNA from 1 species
GCUCUUUUAGUUUAAGUUUGUUGAAUUGUAUUUUGAAAAGGUAUAGGUUUUUUGGGCG